UGGCAAGUGAUGAGGUCACAGAUGUAGGAGGCAGCUUCCUGAGGGCAACUAAACAUCUGAGCUGAAGCCAAAUGAUGAGAGGGGGCCAUCCAAUUGCAGACCUCAGAAAGGAGCAGCUCGGGGAGAGGGAAGAGCUGUGCUCUCACAUACAGCAUGUCAUCUGACCUUCACUGCAUUCUUGAAGAUAGAUCAAUGCAUCCCCAUUUUAUUCCGAAGACCACUAAAUUUCCAGGAGGCAGAAGUCGGAGUGGGAAGUGGACAGAGAUCUAAAACACUUGAGAUAACUUGAGUACCUGUGCUCAUCUGGCUGGGUGCCACAGGAUUUCAUCCAGAGACUUUGUAAAACAGUGAUCAUGAAGCCCAUUUUCCAAGUAUUUAUUAAUUGUCCAAGAUUUCAAGGAGUAGAGUCAAGAC
rnacentral:lncRNA from 1 species